rnacentral:rRNA from 1 species
AGUGAACACUGGCGGUAUGCCUAACACAUGCAAGUCGAACGGCAGCCCAGUAAGAGCUUGCUCUUACGGGUGGCGAGUGGCGGACGGGUGAGGAAUACAUCGGAAUCUACUUUUUCGUGGGGGAUAACGUAGGGAAACUUACGCUAAUACCGCAUACGACCUACGGGUGAAAGCAGGGGAUCUUCGGACCUUGCGCGAUUGAAUGAGCCGAUGUCGGGUUAGCUAGUUGGCGGGGUAAAGGCCCACCAAGGCGACGAUCCGUAGCUGGUCUGAGAGGAUGAUGAGCGACACUGGAACUGGGACACGGUCCAGACUCCUACGGGAGGCAGCAGUGGGGAAUAUUGGACAAUGGGCGAAAGCCUGAUCCAGCCAUACCGCGUGGGUGAAGAAGGCCUUCGGGUUGUAAAGCCCUUUUGUUGGGAAAGAAAAGCAGCAGGUUAAUACCCCGCUGUUCUGACGGUACCCAAAGAAUAAGCAACGGCUAACUUCGUG